CACAGCGCAUGCAAUGUGGAUA
rnacentral:miRNA from 2 species